rnacentral:rRNA from 1 species
UGCCAGCCGCCGCGGUAAUACGGAGGGUGCAAGCGUUGUUCGGAAUUAUUGGGCGUAAAGCGCGUGUAGGCGGUUCGUUAAGUCUGAUGUGAAAGCCCGGGGCUCAACCCCGGAAGUGCAUUGGAAACUGGCGAACUUGAGUACGGGAGAGGAAAGUGGAAUUCCGAGUGUAGGGGUGAAAUUCGUAGAUAUCGGGAGGAACACCAGUGGCGAAGGCGCCUACCUGGACUGAUACUGACGCUGAGGUGCGAAAGCAUGGGGAGCAAACAGGAUUAGAUA